GGACUAUCCUACAUGUCUUGACAGAAUUGGAAGAUGGUCUAGUGAUACAGUAAUGUACGAAUGAUACCCUUUAAUAAGUUUAACAUGUCGAAGUGUUAAAUGUUCUGUGGAUUCAUAUGAUGAGAAUGCCAGUGUUGAUGUGUAUGAUUUGAUUAAACACAGAUAUUGAUACUUUCAGAUAUGCCUGUGAAAUCUUCAGUUUCACCAUUCAGAUAUGGUUCAAGAUCAGUGUCUGCAACUUGCACAGUUUAGUAUGGAGGAACCUUAUGAAUCAACUUUGUUACAUAUUUGCUGUUAUUGUAGGACACACAUAUAGAGAGCAGCAAGUCCUGUCCAGCCU
rnacentral:lncRNA from 1 species